GACGAACGCUGGCGGCGUGCUUAACACAUGCAAGUCGAACGGAAAGGCCCUGCUUUUGUGGGGUGCUCGAGUGGCGAACGGGUGAGUAACACGUGAGUAACCUGCCCUUGACUUUGGGAUAACUUCAGGAAACUGGGGCUAAUACCGGAUAGGAGCUCCUGCUGCAUGGUGGGGGUUGGAAAGUUUCGGCGGUUGGGGAUGGACUCGCGGCUUAUCAGCUUGUUGGUGGGGUAGUGGCUUACCAAGGCUUUGACGGGUAGCCGGCCUGAGAGGGUGAACGGCCACAUUGGGACUGAGAUACGGCCCAGACUCCUACGGGUGGCAGCAGUGGGGAAUAUUGCACAAUGGGCGGAAGCCUGAUGCAGCAACGCCGCGUGCGGGAUGACGGCCUUCGGGUUGUAAACCGCUUUCGCCUGUGACGAAGCGUGAGUGACGGUAAUGGGUAAAGAAGCACCGGCUAACUACGUG
rnacentral:rRNA from 1 species